rnacentral:rRNA from 1 species
GCCAUGAUCAAUGCCACCCUGAACAAGCCUGAUAUCUGAUCUCGGAAGCUAAGCAGGGUUGGGCCUGGUUAGUACUUAGAUGGGAGAUCACCUAGGAAGACCAGAUGCUGUAGGCA